UACGGAGGGUGCAAGCGUUGUCCGGAUUUAUUGGGUUUAAAGGGUGCGUAGGCGGCCCAGUAAGUCAGUGGUGAAAUAUCUCAGCUUAACUGAGAGGGUGCCAUUGAUACUGCGGGGCUUGAGUACAGAUGAGGUAGGCGGAAUUGACGGUGUAGCGGUGAAAUGCAUAGAUAUCGUCAAGAACACCGAUAGCGAAGGCAGCUUACCAAGCUGUAACUGACGCUGAGGCACGAAAGUGUGGGGAUCAAACAGGAUUAGAUACCCCAGUAGUCC
rnacentral:rRNA from 1 species